UACGGGGGGAGCAAGCGUUGUUCGGAUUUACUGGGCGUAAAGGGCGCGUAGGCGGUCAGCGCAAGUCAGUUGUGAAAUCUCCGGGCUUAACCCGGAAAGGUCAACUGAUACUGUGCGACUAGAGUGCGGAAGGGGCAACUGGAAUUCUCGGUGUAGCGGUGAAAUGCGUAGAUAUCGAGAGGAACACCUGCGGCGAAGGCGGGUAGCUGGGCCGACACUGACGCUGAGGCGCGAAAGCCAGGGGAGCGAACGGG
rnacentral:rRNA from 1 species